CCGCAGAGGGCCUGGACAAGUGGAGGAAGCGCGCGGGCGACAACGGGCGUUGUCCUUGGCUGACGAGUGUAUUGGGGUGCUGCCCUCUUUCCCUGGUGGCACUACUACGAUCUUCGGAAAGAUCAUCGGCAAGGCGGUUCAGCGGUACUGUCAGCGACGAGGACUAGGAGUGCUGUGCGUUCCAUGAUCUUUCGCCCCUAGAUGCGAUGCUUUUCCUAGUCAUGCCUAAGGAGCCAAUUAUCAAGUUUUCUGAAGCAGGAAGUUCUGGUGAAUCUCUUCUUGGGCAUGUAAUGAUUGUUGGCGAGAUGUGUGUUGCUCA